GACAGAGGGUGCAAACGUUGUUCGGAAUUACUGGGCGUAAAGCGCGUGUAGGCGGUCGUGCAAGUCGGGUGUGAAAGCCCUCGGCUCAACCGGGGAAGUGCACUCGAAACUGCAUGACUAGAGUCUCGGAGAGGAUAGUGGAAUUCUCGGUGUAGAGGUGAAAUUCGUAGAUAUCGAGAGGAACACCAAUGGCGAAGGCAGCUCGCUGGGACGUUACUGACGCUGAGACGCGAAAGCGUGGGGAAGCAAACAGGG
rnacentral:rRNA from 1 species